CCCGAGGAUGAUGAUAAUCUGAUUUACUGCCUCCUUGCCUGGUUUAAAUCAGUAAAGAACAUUAAGCACAAGUUUUAGAUAUUUUUA
ensembl:snoRNA